rnacentral:rRNA from 1 species
CUACGGGUGCUGCAGUGAGGAAUAUUGCACAAUGGGGGGAACCCUGAUGCAGCAACGCCGCGUGGAGGAUGACGCAUUUCGGUGUGUAAACUCCUUUUAUAUGUCAAGAAAAUGACGGUAGCAUAUGAAUAAGCACCGCCUAACUCCGUGCCAGCAGCCGCGGUAAUACGGAGGGUGCAAGCGUUACGCGGAAUCACUGGGCGUAAAGGACGCGUAGGCGGGUUGGAAAGUCAGGUGUGAAAUCCUACAGCUUAACUGUAGAACUGCACUUGAAACUUCUAAUCUAGAGUAUGGGAGGGGGAGAUGGAAUUAGUGGUGUAGGGGUAAAAUCCGUAGAUAUCACUAGGAAUACCUAAAGCGAAGGCGAUCUCCUGGAACAUUACUGACGCUAAGGCGUGAAAGCGUGGGGAGCAAACAGGAUUAGAUACCCUUGUAGUC